CUGCGCUUUCCCUGUACGUUGCUUCAAAUCCUUUUCAGAAAUUGCGUGAAGACACUGAGGCUGGAAAAGUGAAGUCUUGAUCAGGACAUCUCUAUGUAAUCUUGCUGGAAUCUGGCAUACACUUGAGACAGUAGAAGAACAAUGUGAGGAAACUGAGCAAAAUGACUGAUAGUCCAGAAGGAAUAUUUUUCCUACCAUAUUAAUGUAACUGGAUGGGAAAUUCGACUAAUAAUCCAUCCCUGUUAUGCCCUGUUUUAGAAAGAGUAUGGGAAGGAACCCAAAGGAACCACAAGAGCCAAAGCCUGCUAGAUCUUAAGAUCUGUGAAGGGAAUUUGACCAGCACACAAGUGGACAGACAAGAG